rnacentral:rRNA from 1 species
ACGAACGUUGGCGGCGUGGAUUAGGCAUGCAAGUCGAACGGACUGCCGUCUGGUAGCAAUACCGGGCGGCAGUUAGUGGCGAAAGGGGCAGUAAGGCGUGGGUAACCUGCCCCGGGGUCCGGGAUAGCCGGUCUAACGGCCGGGUAAUACCGGGCGACGUGUCGGGGGCGCCUGUCCCUGGCACCAAAGGUUUACCGCCCCGGGAGGGGCCCACGUGGUAUUAGCUUGUUGGCGGGGUGACGGCCCACCAAGGCCUAGAUGCCCAGCGGGUGUGAGAGCACGACCCGCGCCACUGGCACUGAGACACUGGCCAGACUCCUACGGGAGGCUGCAGUCGAGGAUCUUCGGCAAUGGGCGCAAGCCCGACCGAGCGACGCCGCGUGCGCGACGAGGGCCUUCGGGUUGUAAAGCGCUGUCGGGGGGGAGGAAAGCCCCACAAGGGCCUGACCUAUCCCCGGAGGAAGCACGGGCUAAGUUCGCGCCAGCAGCCGCGGUAAGACGAACCGUGCGAACGUUGUUCGGAAUCACUGGGCUUAAAGGGCGCGUAGGCGGCGCGGCGAGUCCGGGGUGAAAGCCCCCGGCCCAACCGGGGAAGGGCCUCGGAUACUGCCGCGCUCGAGGGGGGCAGGGGCAGGCGGAACUUCCGGUGGGGCGGUGAAAUGCGUUGAGAUCGGAAGGAACGCCGGCGGCGAAAGCGGCCUGCUGGGCCCCAUCUGACGCUGAGUGCGCGAAAGCUAGGGGAGCGAACGGGAUUAGAUACCCCGGUAGUCCUAGCCCUAAACGAUGGGUACCAGGCAGGGGACCGGACACGGGUUCCCUGCCGGAGCGAAAGUGCUCAGUACCCCCGCCUGGGGAGUAUGGUCGCAAGGCUGAAACUCAAAGGAAUUGACGGGGGCUCACACAAGCGGUGGAGCAUGUGGCUUAAUUCGAGGCUACGCGAAGAACCUUAUCCCGGGCUUGACAUGUGCGAAAGCGGGGGGGGAGUAGGGUGCGGAAACGUUACCCCAACGGUACCCAGUCCGGAACCCCCUACAGGUGCUGCAUGGCUGUCGUCAGCUCGUGUCGUGAGAUGUUGGGUUAAGUCCCCUAACGAGCGAAACCCCUGCUUCCAGUUGCCAGCGAGUCAUGCCGGGGACUCUGGAAGGACUGCCGGUGUAAACCGGAGGAAGGCGGGGACGACGUCAAGUCCUCAUGGCCUUUAUGCCCGGGGCUGCACACGUGCUACAAUGGCGCCCACAGAGGGACGCGAGCCCGCGAGGGCCAGCCAAUCCCAAAAAAAGCGCCCCAGUUCAGAUCGAAGGCUGCAACCCGCCUUCGUGAAGCCGGAAUCGCUAGUAAUCGCGGGUCACCAACACCGCGGUGAAUGUGUUCCUGAGCCUUGUACACACCGCCCGUCAAGCCACGAAAGGGGGGGGCGUCCGAAGUCGCCGCGCCAAGCCGGCGCCGAAGACGAAACCCCUGAUUGGGACUAAGUCGUAACA